AGACCCGAAACCCGGUGAUCUAGCCAUGGGCAGGUUGAAGGUUGGGUAACACUAACUGGAGGACCGAACCGACUAAUGUUGAAAAAUUAGCGGAUGACCUGUGGCUGGGGGUGAAAGGCCAAUCAAACCGGGAGAUAGCUGGUUCUCCCCGAAAGCUAUUUAGGUAGCGCCUCGUGAAUUCAUCUCCGGGGGUAGAGCACUGUUUCGGCUAGGGGGCCAUCCCGGCUUACCAACCCGAUGCAAACUGCGAAUACCGGAGAAUGUUAUCACGGGAGACACACGGCGGGUGCUAACGUCCGUCGUGAAGAGGGAAACAACCCAGACCGCCAGCUAAGGUCCCAAAGUCAUGGUUAAGUGGGAAACGAUGUGGGAAGGCCCAGACAGCCAGGAUGUUGGCUUAGAAGCAGCCAUCAUUUAAAGAAAGCGUAAUAGCUCACUGGUCGAGUCGGCCUGCGCGGAAGAUGUAACGGGGCUAAACCAUGCACCGAAGCUGCGGCAGCGACACUCAGGUGUUGUUGGGUAGGGGAGCGUUCUGUAAGCCUGUGAAGGUGGCCUGUGAGGGUUGCUGGAGGUAUCAGAAGUGCGAAUGCUGACAUAAGUAACGAUAAAGCGGGUGAAAAGCCCGCUCGCCGGAAGACCAAGGGUUCCUGUCCAACGUUAAUCGGGGCAGGGUGAGUCGACCCCUAAGGCGAGGCCGAAAGGCGUAGUCGAUGGGAAACGGGUUAAUAUUCCCGUACUUGGUGUUACUGCGAAGGGGGGACGGAGAAGGCUAUGUUGGCCGGGCGACGGUUGUCCCGGUUUAAGCGUGU
rnacentral:rRNA from 1 species